GAUGAACGCUGGCGGCGUGCCUAAUACAUGCAAGUCGAGCGAACAGACGCGGAGCUUGCUCCUCUGACGUUAGCGGCGGACGGGUGAGUAACACGUGGAUAACCUACCUAUAAGACUGGGAUAACUUCGGGAAACCGUAGCUAAUAACGGAUACUAUAUUUAAUCGCAUGGUUCAAUAGUGUAAGCCGGUUAUGCUGUCACUUAUACAUGGAUCCGCGCCGCAUUAGCUAGUUGGUAAGGUAACGGCUUACCAAGGCGGCGAUGCGUAGCCGACCUGAGAAGGUGAACGGCCACUCUGGGAGUGAGACGCGAUCCAGGCUCCGACAGGAGGCAGCAAUAGGGAAUCGUCCGCGAUGGGCGAAAGCCUGACGGAGCAGCGCCGCGUUGGUGAUGAAGGGCUGCGGAUCGUAAGACUCUGUUAUUGUGGAAGAACAAAUGUGUAAGUAACUAUGCACGUCUUGACGGUACCUAGUUAGAAAGCCACGGCUAACUACGUG
rnacentral:rRNA from 1 species